rnacentral:rRNA from 1 species
GAUCCUGGCUCAGGACGAACGCUGGCGGCGUGCUUAACACAUGCAAGUCGAACGGAAAGGCCCGCAUCAUUUUUUUGGUGGGGGUGCUCGAGUGGCGAACGGGUGAGUAACACGUGGGUGAUCUGCCCUGUACUUCGGGAUAAGCUUGGGAAACUGGGUCUAAUACCGGAUAGGACCAUGGUUUAGUGUCUCAUGGUGGAAAGAUUAUUGUUUUGGUGCAGGAUGAGCUCGCGGCCUAUCAGCUUGUUGGUGGGGUAAUGGCCUACCAAGGCGUCGACGGGUAGCCGGCCUGAGAGGGUGGACGGCCACAUUGGGACUGAGAUACGGCCCAGACUCCUACGGGAGGCAGCAGUGGGGAAUAUUGCACAAUGGGCGCAAGCCUGAUGCAGCGACGCCGCGUGGGGGAUGACGGCCUUCGGGUUGUAAACUCCUUUCGUUAGGGACGAAGCCGCACCUUUUUUUGGGUGUGGUGACGGUACCUUUGUUAAGAAGCACCGGCUAACUACGUGCCAGCAGCCGCGGUAAUACGUAGGGUGCGAGCGUUGUCCGGAAUUACUGGGCGUAAAGAGCUCGUAGGUGGUUUGUUGCGUCGUCUGUGAAAUUCCGGGGCUUAACUUCGGGGUGGCAGGCGAUACGGGCAUAACUAGAGUGCUGUAGGGGAGACUGGAAUUCCUGGUGUAGCGGUGGAAUGCGCAGAUAUCAGGAGGAACACCGAUGGCGAAGGCAGGUCUCUGGGCAGUAACUGACGCUGAGGAGCGAAAGCAUGGGGAGCGAACAGGAUUAGAUACCCUGGUAGUCCAUGCCGUAAACGUUGGGCACUAGGUGUGGGGGACAUUCCACGUUUUCCGCGCCGUAGCUAACGCAUUAAGUGCCCCGCCUGGGGAGUACGGCCGCA